AACGCACGAGACCUGCGGACCUGCGGAGGGAUCAUUCACAAUAAGUGUUUAUGGCACUUUAAUUCCAUAUCCACCUUGUGUGCAACGUAGUUCGUUUUUCCUUCUCUGUUUGAAGGAACUCGAACAAAACAUCAACAUUUUAAUUAUCAACAGAUCGUCUGAAGUAUUAUAUGAAUAAAUCAAUUCAAAAUACAACUUUCAGCAACGGAUCUCU
rnacentral:misc_RNA from 1 species